UGGAUCCAGACUUUGAUUAUGGCUCAGGAUGAACGCUAGCUACAGGCUUAACACAUGCAAGUCGAGGGGAAACGACAUCGAAAGCUUGCUUUUGAUGGGCGUCGACCGGCGCACGGGUGAGUAACGCGUAUCCAACCUGCCCACCACAUGGGGAUAACCUUGCGAAAGUAAGACUAAUACCCAAUGACGUCUCUAGAAGACAUCUGAAAGAGAUUAAAGAUUUAUCGGUGAUGGAUGGGGAUGCGUCUGAUUAGCUUGUUGGCGGGGUAACGGCCCACCAAGGCAACGAUCAGUAGGGGUUCUGAGAGGAAGGUCCCCCACAUUGGAACUGAGACACGGUCCAAACUCCUACGGGAGGCAGCAGUGAGGAAUAUUGGUCAAUGGACGAGAGUCUGAACCAGCCAAGUAGCGUGCAGAAUGACGGCCCUAUGGGUUGUAAACUGCUUUUAUAAGGGAAUAAAGUGAGUCUCGUGAGACUUUUUGCAUGUACCUUAUGAAUAAGGACCGGCUAAUUCCGUGCCAGCAGCCGCGGUAAUACGGAAGGUCCGGGCGUUAUCCGGAUUUAUUGGGUUUAAAGGGAGCGUAGGCCGGAGAUUAAGCGUGUUGUGAAAUGUAGACGCUCAACGUCUGCACUGCAGCGCGAACUGGUUUCCUUGAGUACGCACAAAGUGGGCGGAAUUCGUGGUGUAGCGGUGAAAUGCUUAGAUAUCACGAAGAACUCCGAUUGCGAAGGCAGCUCACUGGAGCGCAACUGACGCUGAAGCUCGAAAGUGCGGGUAUCGAACAGGAUUAGAUACCCUGGUAGUCCGCACGGUAAACGAUGGAUGCCCGCUGUUGGUCUGAAUAGGUCAGCGGCCAAGCGAAAGCAUUAAGCAUCCCACCUGGGGAGUACGCCGGCAACGGUGCAACUCAAAGGAAUUGACGGA
rnacentral:rRNA from 1 species